CUUGGACCCAAGCUCCAGCUUGCUAAUAAACCCUCGUGUGCUUUCAUCGGUGUCGGCUCCUCGGUGGUUUUCUCGGAUUUGCAAUCUUGGGCACAUUUUUUGGCCAGGCAAACAUCUAAUUACCAAAUGUCUAUCUGCUCUUCUAAUUGCCCUAGGAAUUGCAUUUAUUUCCUCUGAAGUCCUGGAUCCUUAGACAUAUACACAUUUUCCCUGAAUGUCUUUGGAAUUUCCAUGUCUAUGUGAAUUUUCCACAGCCUUCUUUGGGCCAUUCAGAAAGUUUACCCGUGUACCCGAGGACAUCAUCAAAGACAUUCAAACUGUGGACUAGAAAAAUCUGUCAGAUUGCCACUGCCUGCCCUCAUUCUAUUUGAAGAUGCUUUGAGCAUGACAUCUAGAAAUCUUGACUGGCAGCUCUCAGGACUCAUUCACUGGGUUUAAAUUUGCCCCAACCAUUACCCUUUGUGUUUCAAAAUAAAAGAAUUUCCAUUGAAAUGCCACUUAUUAAUUACCUGACCACUUACACGAUAUAGGCCUCACUUUGGGAGACCAGUGGCAUCACUUUCUUCUGAAAUGAAACACAAUUGUUUAACUGAACUGACCUAUUCUCAAUACAGACUGGUCUAAUGAGAUAUGGAGCAAUCUCUCAAUUUAACUUCUGUACUGUGAAACUUCUUUUUUGAAGUUUCGAAGGCAGGACUGAAGAGCAGAAUUUGUCACCUCAUAGUAGGUCACUUUGGCAUGAGCAUUAUUUUGAGCUGAAGGCAAUCAAAAUCCAGUAGAUUCAGGAAAAGCUCUUUAUCUCUCCCAGCCCAAAUGCCUAAAUUUACACUGUAAAUGGGUCUUGUACCGGGAAGAGAGCUGUUGUUAGGGAUUUCUUUUUACCUAAGAAACUUACCUGAAGAGAGCAACCUUUGUUUUCCAAACAUCUCCUUUUACCUUCCUGUGAAUAAUGGCCUUCCUUCUGCUUUCUAAUCCUAGACCUGUAACUCUUUCCUAAACAUAAGUCUCAAUUACCUGGCUGCCUAUUGGGUCCCAUAUUGUUAUGAAGCUCAUGUACAUAUAAAAUGUUUUUUUCCUGUUAAUCUUCCACCCAUUUAAUAAUUAGACCAGCCAAAUAACUUAGAAGGAAAGAAGGGAAAACUUUUCUGACCCUAUGCUUGUCUUAGAUGUAGGUCAUAUCACACAGCUUCUUGCCUUAAGAAUCUUAUCACCUGGUAAGUAAAAUAAAACAGGUAUACAGGUAACUGCCAGUAGGAAGCAUUACAUUACAUGUCCUAAACAAAAGAUAGGAAGAGAACUAAGAAGGGUCCAUGCAAAUGCUAAAAUGCUAAGGAGGCUCAGAUGUCAGGUGGUGGCGAAGGGAGUAAAUAAACUGUACAAGUUUCAAAUGAAUUAAAACGAAUAGGAAUCAAGUGAAUUGCAAGGAUUUAGGAUAGAUUCAUGAAACAAACCUGUAUUCAUGGGAUCUUUCAAUUUUUGAGAACAUAUUACAUUUGAAUAUCUUUCCUUAGUGGUGUGUGUGAAUAAUCUGUUUAAAAUAAUUACAAUAAAACUUUCAUUAAGAUCUUGGAUUUUUGUUCAUCGUAGAAAACAACAACAGAAUUAUAUGUCCUGCGCAUAACUACGUGCAAUUUUGGAAACAACAUACAAGGAGAUUCUCUGAGCUGUUAGAAACAAAGGAUAGCUUUUUUUUCUUUCUUCUCUUACUUCCAUUAAUGUUGACUUUUCUUGUUUAAAGCUAUAAGAAAUAUUCUGAAUACUAAUGUGACAAAAUCAGAUGCAAUCCCCAAAUACCAUAUUUGCUUAAUGAUAAAUACCUAGUCCUUAUUACCUUUAAGAAAAUUUAGACAAUUCUCUUUGUCCUGUAGCCUUGGGGUAGUGAGGAAAGUUAGGCAUAGUAUUUUAAUGUUCAUUCCUCUUUUGCUGUUAGCUAUCAUUAAUCCCUAAUGCCUGGAACGGCAUAAAUUUCUUCUACAAAGGAAGCCCACAGGUCGUUUUUAUUUGGAGCAGUUUUUUUUCUAUGUGCCACAAUAUAUUCCAUUAUGUAUUACCUCGUCUGAAUGCAAAACUGUUUUAUAUGCAGAUUUAAGGUAAUGAGCACUCAAGUUUAAAAAAUGGUUCUGGUAUCCUGUAGCUUCUCAAUAAUAAUAUACUCUUACAUUCCAACAGAGAAGGAUGGAUUAUGGGUUUUUCAAUUUGCAUCAGGCAUAUUAAUUGCAGAGUAGGGCUUCCACAUAAAAUAUCAAUGUACUGGAACAAACUGUUAAUGUACCAGAAUAUGAACACUUACACUCGGUUCUGGAACUUUCAAAGGAAUCAUCCUUUUUUUUCCUUCUCUCUCUUUCUCUCUCUCUCUCUCUCUCUUGUUUUUAUACCUCUGGAGAUGGUCGAGUUUUUUAGUCAGUGAAUGAGAACUAUGUAACCUCUGUUUCUCUGAAAAAUCCCUAAUUAGAUUAAGUGCAGUAGGGCUUUUCUAGUCAUUCUGCUGGGGAACAAUACAACAAGCCAUUAGGGAAAGAGAAUAAUUUAGAGGAUCUGGAGGAAACUUUAUUUUAGAGUUGCUUUGAAGAAACAUGACAUGGAAGAUCAACUUUAUGUUGUAGUUGGAGGCAGAGAAGCACACUCAACUUUUAUUUGCAUUAUAUUUCUCAACUGUGAAGAAAAUACCUAAAACUAGUAAAACUGUAAUUGGAAGUUUUAUAAGUAAUUUUCAGCUGAGGUUUGGCACUGUGGGCUUAAUUAUAGAAAACUGUGUAUUAUGUGCGUUACUGCAUGGAAGUACUUGAAUUAUGGGUUGUCUUGUAGGCAUAAAAUUGUGAAUGUCCAUUUAAAAAAAUUGUAACAAACUCCUUGUGCUUUAUCUUUUUUAAAAGGUUGGAUAACUAAUCUAAAUUACAGAUACAGAUUGGUUAGGUUAGAAUACAGAUUUGAAUAUUUAAAAGUAUGUGUUCUAUAUUUUAUAAUGUGGAUGUUUUCCUAUGCUGAAAAGAUAAAGCAGCAGGAAGAAAUAGUUUGAGGUUUAAAGGCACAGACUACAUUUUUUUUUGUAGGCUGUACAUAGUAUGUAAAUUCUAAGUAAUUGAUGAAUAUUCAUUGAAUAAAAUUCUCAUCUAUUGUAUCCUAAAUUGUCACUUCUUUUACAGUUAUUUUAUCCCAUGUUCUUUUUGAUGCUUAAUGAAAUUUGUAAUUUUAUUAUGCUCAAACAGCAGUAAAAUGGGAACCCACUUCUUAAAACCAUUCUGAGAAAGACAAUAUUUGAGUUUGCAUGCCACAGCUAUAAGCAAAGAAUUAUUUCACUAGGAAAGAGAAGAAAUACCACCCACAUAAUCCAACAGGAGACCUGAUUCAUUUUGUGUCUGGAGCAAUCUGCACAAUGUUACAAACUGAAAUGAAUUUCCUUUUCAAUCUUCAGGUGAAAAAAAUAGUGAGAAUGCCCUGCCUUCCCAAUUGAUGUAAAUUUCUCUUCUUACCUCUUAAGAAAUCAUGUGUGUUUGUUUUAUUUUGCAAUGGUAGCUUUGACCUCAUAGCUGUUAAAAGGCUCAGGGUGUCAUGGGUCAAAAACUAAGGCAAGAUAGACUUUUCUCAGCACUAAAACACAACCUAAUCUAUGGUAAAAGUAAUUUUGAUACUGUUUAAAGAAAUAGCCUUGGGCAACAUGAAUGUUCUUUUGCUGUAGCAUGCUGGCUGAAAAACAGGCAUAGAUACAUGCUCAAUGAAGAGACCCCGGUAAAUCACUAGCAUAUAAACUGUGCAUCAGUUAGGUGCUAACAUUUUGAGAAAUGAUGAAAGUGUGUUGUUCUCAUUUUGUAUUACAUAGAGUGGGUGUAUUUUAAACUCAAGGAAUUUGAUUUCUAGUAGGAAAGCCAAAUAAAGUGUUGCAAUUGUUUUAUUUAUGGGCAGUUCUUUCAACUGAAUUCCUUUUAUUUCCUAUUUUUUUUCUCCUUGUUUGAAACGCCACAUAACACAAGAUGCUGCUUGUUUUGUGUGCCUUUUUAUAUUGUGAACAAAGAUGGAAAAUAGGUUCAAAUACCUCAUUCAAAAAUGUUUUACUUAAUUUCAUCAGUGGACAAGAUAACAUCAUGUUUUCUGAAUUUGUUUUUCUUGGUAAACAUCACUAAAAAAAGUUUAAUCCUUAUGAAGAAUACCAUAAGUCUUAAUUUGAUACCUAUAGAGGUUUAAGUUUUUUAUGAACUUCUACUAUUUAAUGAAAAUUGCUUUGGAUCAUAAUAUUUUUAGAGGUAGUGAUUAAAUGCACUUACCCCUCCUCCUGAUACAUCUACCUUCUAUGUUCUUAGAUAAAAAUCAAAUGAAAAUUAAUCUCACGUUCUAAGUGAUGUUAACUGGAUUCAGGGAUCUUAUGAUGUCCUUUACUUCCUUUGAGGCAUCAUUUGGCAACACAAGUACAAUUCCAGCAUAGCUGCUGAUUUUUAGUUGCAGUUUUUAUUUUUUAAUUCUUGUGGGGAGAGGGAUUUAAUCUCUCAAACUUCGUUGGUAAAUUACAUUGAUGAAUGCAUUUUGACAGGAAGCUUUACUGAAAUGAAAAGGACUCAUGUGUAAGGGUGGGAAUAACUAUUCUAAGAGCUUUUUCAUGGUGCUCGUUACCAGGGAAACCACUGCUUUGUCUGUACGUGUUUGGAAUGGCUGCCUCAUUAGAACUCAGGCUCCCAGACAGUCACUUUGUGGUCCUGAUGAAAUGAAAGGGAUGAACCUAUUUUAGUUGAUUAACUCCAAAUUAAGAAAAAUAGCAUACUUAAAAGACAGAUUUCCAAAAGCUAAACAUAUGGAAUUAUGGGGAAACUGUAAAGUGACUGGUCUAUGUCAUAGCUACAAUAUUAUCACAGCAGACUGAAUUCAUUGACUCGGGCAUAAAGGUAUUGAAAAGCUGUGUCAGAAACCCACAUUGGGGUAGUAUUCAUUUUUCUUUAAACAAAGCAGUGUCAUACCCAGAAAUUAUAUGGGCCGAUAUUAACAGCACAGAGGGCAAUAUAACUUUGAUGAUUGCUCUAAGCUUAAAUAUAGUAAAAAAAAAAAAAAAAAGAUAGCAAGCAGGCAUGAAAACAUUUCAAGUUCAA